AUGUGUAUAUUUACAAUGUGUUUUAUAGGUCAAUUUCCUUCAAUAGUGCCAAAGGAAAGAGGAUGGAACCAGAAAACACUGCCAAGGAGACAGUCCUCGUUACUGGGGGAGGUGGUUAUUUUGGCUUCCGUUUAGGUUGUGCCAUAUACCAAAAGGGAGUUGAUGUGAUUCUCUUUGAUGUCAUGAACCCACUUCAAACUGUGCCAGAGGGAAUAAAGUUCAUGCAAGGGGAUGUCUGUUGCCUCUCUGAAGUGGAAGAGGCUCUUAGAGAUGUAAUCUGCGUAUUCCAUAUUGCUUCCUAUGGAAUGUCUGGCAGGGAGCAGCUGAACCGAAAACUUAUAGAAGAUGUUAAUGUGAAAGGAACAGAAAAUGUCAUCCAAGCCUGCAAGAGCUCAGGAGUGUCGAGUCUGGUUUAUACAAGUACAUAUAACGUGGUAUUUGGAGGGCAGAUUAUAGAAAAUGGGGAUGAAUCUCUGCCUUACCUACCUCUUCACCUUCACCCAGAUCACUACUCCCGGACCAAAUCUUUAGCUGAAAUGAAGGUGCUGGCAGCAAACGGUGCUGAGCUUGGAAAUGGGAAAGGUGUAUUGAGGACUUGUGCUCUCCGACCAGCAGGCAUCUAUGGGCCUGGAGAACAAAGACAUCUUCCAAGAAUAGUUAGUUACAUUGAAAGGGGACUGUUUAAAUUUGUAUAUGGAGAUCCUCUUAGUUUAGUAGAAUUUGUACACGUUGACAAUCUAGUCCAGGCUCAUAUCCUUGCUUCUGAGGCCCUCAAAGCCAGCAAAAAGCACAUAGCUGCAGGCCAAGCCUAUUUUAUUUCAGAUGGCAGGCCUGUAAAUAACUUUGAAUUUUUCCGACCGUUAGUGGAAGGUUUGGGUUACAAGUUCCCAACCUGUCGUCUUCCUCUCUCCCUUGUCUAUUUUUUUGCAUUCCUUACUGAAGUGGUUCAUUUUCUUGUAGGCCAUGUUUAUAAUUUUCAGCCUCUCCUCACUCGCACAGAGGUUUACAAAACUGGUGUCACGCAUUAUUUUAGCAUGGAGAAAGCCAGAAAGGAGCUGGGAUAUGAGCCUCAGCAAUACAGCCUGAAUGAAGUGGUUGAGUGGUUCAGAUCUCAGGGAUGUGGACCAAAGCCAAGAAAAUAUACUAUUAUGCAUCUUGUGAGGGCUGGAGGAUUGCUCUUGCUGCUGAUUGCUGUGAUGGUCUCAUGGUUUCCAUCUGUAGUUACAUUUUCACUCUGAAAGAUGAAACACUGAGUAUGGAGGACAGAAUGCAGUUGUGUUCUCUGAAUACUCUUGGUUAUGACAGACAGUUAAAAAUAAAUA